CAAGGUCUUGGUCUUGAACCUCCUAUUAUCUUUAUCCUCUAAUUAUACAUGCAAGCCUCAUCAUAACAGUGAAACAACCCACCACAAUAACACCCGAGUAGGUAUCAGGCGUUCGCCCACGACACCAAGCAAUACUAAGCCACACCCCCACGGGCCAGCAGCAGUAGUUAAUAUUAGGCCAUAAGCACUAAGCUCGACCUAGCAAGAGAAUGUUCACCAGGGUUGGUUAAUCUCGUGCCAGCGACCGCGGUUACACGACAGACCCAAGAUAAUAGCACCGGCGUAAAGCACGACUAGACAACAGUAUAACUUUUUGAGAUGAAGAUAGUCUGGGCUGUAAAAAGCCAUAAGCCCCACGAACAUUCCCCCUCAAACCCAAAACCACUUCAACUCGUGAAAAUAGGAACACAAACUAAGAUUAGAUACCCUACUAUGCCUAACCUAACACACAAUUAAAUCACUAAUUGUCCGCCAAAUAACUACGAGUUAAAACUUAAAACUUAAAAGACUUGACGGUACUUCACACCACCCUAGAGGAGCCUGUCUAAUAACCGAUACCCCACGAUUAACCCAACCCGCCCUAGCCCAGCAGUCUAUAUACCGCCAUCGCCAGCUCACCUUGUGAAAGAAACAAAGCGGGCUAAAUAGUCACCACUAAUACGAUAGGUCGAGGUGUAACUAAUGAGCGGGGAUAAGAUGGGCUACAUUUUCUAAUACAGAAAAUACGAAUAGACUACGAAAAUAGAAACCGAAGGCGGAUUUAGCAGUAAAUUAGGGACAACAAACCUAAUCGAAACGAACGCAAUGAAGUGCGUACACACCGCCCGUCAUCCCUGUAAAAAAACAAUGAACUUCAUAAACACAAAAAACUAAUAAACAGGGCAAGUCGUAACAUGGUAAGCGUACUGGAAAGUGCGCUUAGAAA
rnacentral:rRNA from 1 species